UAGGAUCAAAGGCAUGUGCCACCAAGCCUGGCACAACAGGUCCAGCUUCUCUGAGGAAGGCAGAACUCUGCACUGCCAUCUACUUCAGGCUAUGAAAGCACCCACACAGAUGACGUCACUCCUGCCUUGCAGCUCGUCACUCCUGCCUUGCAACUGGGAGGAGGGCAUGAUUACUAAUAGUUGAACAGAUAUUAUUAAAAGAAGUGUAGUGAUUUGUCAAAGGUCAGAUCCUGAUGGAAGAACCUCUCUUCAGACUUACAUCUUCUGACUCGGCAUCCAGUGCUCACCCUUGCAACAUUUGUCAGCUGACGUAACCAGCCUUGAACGACACACGUGGCAGCGGGCAUGAGGUACCAGAAGUCAGAAGCAGGCUUUGGAUCCCCUGGAGCUACAGGCAACCCCUUUGUCUCUACAGACCUGUGUAUUCAGGAUGCUUCAGGGUUCACCCCUGUUAGACUGCAUCCUCUCCAUCUCCUGCUCAACACGCUCACUGUGUGACUCUACCGUGUCUUCACCUGCCCAUCCCUUCUGGCCAUUUAUUUUGGGUGAUGGUUCAUCUUCACAGUCAACUUGAUUGGGUUAACAUGACCGUGAGAACACACCUCUGGGUGUUUCCAGGAAGGGCUCAGUGAGGAGGAAAUACAGCCUGAAAAUGGAGAGCACUGUCCCGUGGGCUGAUGCAUGAGAAAUGGAGCAGAUCGGCGGAAUUCCUCUUUGCUUCCUGACUACCGACUGACACAGCAUGGCCAAGCACUUCAUACCUAUGCCCCCUGCCUUGUCUGCCGUGAUGGGCUGUAUGAUAUCACAUUUUAGCUACCGUGAAGAACACCCACUGCUCUGAGCCAUCCGACAUUCUUUGAGUGAAACAUGUUUGCUGGUCUUGCGGGGAGGAGUGGCGUUUCUAGGUUGCAUUAGGUCACACGUUUGCUUUAAGUUCAGCCUUUUGAGGAAAUUCCAAGUUCUCUACUUAAUAUUCCCACUAGCAAUGGGGACAAUUCGAAUUCCCCAGCCUGUCCUCUCUCUCCUCACCCUCUGGUCUCUGAAUGUAGCCCAGGCUGGCCUGUAACUUGUGAUUCUCCCUACCUCAGUCUCCCAAGUAGCUGGCUGUUAGGCACCGGCCACAAUGCUCAGCUUCUCCUUUUCAUGGAUUGAUGUAUUUGAGCCAGAUAUGGUGACACACAUCUCUAAUCCCAGUUCUUGAGAGGUAGAGGUAGGAGGAGAGAUAGUCCAAGGACAGACUUAGCUACAUAGUGAGUUCAGGCCAGUCUUAGCUACAUGAAAUCUAGUCUCAAAAAUAAAUAA